GUUUUUGUCUUUGUUUUUUGAAUUUGGCAUUAUUGACAACUCUGCUUUAUCUCCUGAACUGGCUUACUAACUAAUCUUACUAACUAACUAACCUAACUGCUUACUAACUCUAACCUUUGGGAUAUUUGAGUGGUUGCUUUACCAUUUACAGGACACACAGUCUAACUUCAAGAGAUCUCAUAUAACUGUACCUGGAGUAGAAGAACCUUACAAUAGUAUAUUUCCAUCUCUCCCCUCCUGGCCUCAUCCCCCUGCCCUGUGCCAAGACCUAGAAACUCUCACAAAGCAGUAAACAGAAUCAUCGAGCUCUCUGGGGUUACUGAACUUGUGGCCUGAUGUCCAGUGUCUUGAAAACCAUUGUUUCAUUUGCUCUAUUGGUUUGUUUUUUGUUUCAGGGGGAAGGGAAAAUCCAAUCCCUGUUACUCCACCUUGGAUGGAAAUCCCCAGUAUGUCUAUGAAGACUCAGAAGCUCAGGACUCAGGACACCAAGACUCAGGAGCUCAGGCCCUUGCCCAAAGCAAGGUGACCACCAAGUGACCCGGCAGGACUCCAACCAGCUCUCCUGACACCAGGCCUGCCAUUCUCCUCCCUGCCCCACUGCUCCUGAGACCCACCCUGAGAAAGAAGAUAGAGCUGGCAGCAGAACAUAGCGGGCUUUGCCACCACUGCAAAAAGCGGCUUGCAAGCACUGUCACCAGCUUUGGAAGCCAGUGUGAUGAUUAUUUUGUAUAAAGUGACCCAUUAAAUAGCACCUUUCAGCAUCUUCCAAGCCGCACCUUAAAUGCCCCCUCCGCAUCUUCAAAAGCCUCUGUGGCAUGUUUCUGAGGCCGAGAGGAGCUCAGUUCUUUCCCAAGCCCCACCCCCUCAGCCGACCCCAGAAAUGCUGUGUCUGAAAGCAUCAGCACUGACUUCGUUCCCACUGGCUGCCCGUCACAGGUCCAUUGCUUUCACGGCUCUGCCAUCCUACAGCAGUGGGACCCAGAAGACACAGACAACGCUCAGGCUCCUCAUCUGUAAACUGAGCCUGAGCGUAUCAACCUCCCAGAGUUGAUGGUUAAAUAAAAAUACAAUGUAUUUGGCACAGACUAGGAACUGGGCUUUCUUUCCACUCGUCUCAUAGCCCGUCCACUUUUUCUAAGUGUUCUUAUAUUACCCUUAGAAGUCUGGCGAGACUGGUGGUCUGUUGCUCACAACAAAAAACCCAUGAAAGGAAAACCAGUAAACAGCACUCGCCCUGCACUGUCUAGAUCAGAGGUUCUCACACUUCGCUGCACACUAGAAUCCCCUGGGGAGCUUUUAAAAAUCCCAACAGCAGGCUGCACCCCAGAUCAAUUAAACAAGAAUCUCUGCAGAUGGGGACCAGACAUCAGGAUUUUGUAAAGCUCACAGGGUCUUCCAAUGCUCAGCCAAGGUCAAGAGUGAGUGAUCUUGACCAAGAGACAAGAAUGCUCUUGUUGUCCUGUUCUCCCCUCCUUUGUCUGCAAUCCCUGGCGCAUCUCAGGGGCUGGACAGGGACCAGUGGAAAGCGAGUGAGCCAUCCUUUAAGGAGGCUCUCAUUCUUAGGCUCCUAAAAGAGCUGGGGGUGGCCAGUUCUCAGCCCUGAAAAGGAGCCCCCCCCCUUACAGGUUGUUCCCUAGGCUCCGCUCUCUUAGAGAGGCGCUCCCUCUUGGGGGCACCACCCUCCACUUGCAGGAUGCAGAGAAUGAUGCCUCCUUACUCACUCCCUACAGCCCAGCCCCACCCUGGACACCCCAGCAUGCACUUCCCCACCCCGACCGUUGAAAGCUCCAAAGGGAAAAGCAGUCCCCAGCCCCCACCCUGCCCCCUAACUCAGGAAAGCAUCUCUCUUUGAACAAAUCCUCCUCCUUCGCCGCACAGGGCCAUGGUUCCAGACCCCUGGCCAGCGCCCAGCCACUGUCAGACCACCUGGCUGAGAAGGUGAAGGGGAGACAAGGUGGCCCUUACCUGCCAGCCAGCCACUAGCCCUCUCCCUAGGGUUGGCCCCCUGCCCAGGUGACAGUUCAAAGAUUCAGGGGAAAAAAACAAGACUUGGCAAAAGCACAGGUGACCUUUCCUCCAGGUGCAGGGGCAGGGGCAGGAAAGCUGGAGAAGUUAUUUCUCAUGCCCUUUGCCUGAUGGGGGCCUCAGCUCUGCCCAGAACAGGGAGUGGUGUUCAGAACAAGGUUCCAUCAGGGGGCUGGAUGUUGAAGUAGGGUUCCCAGUCUUGCCCCUAGAAAACACGAUUUAUCUGACUCAACUGCCCUCUAAGCUCCAGGCUCCUCUCCCUUGUGGGUCUCAAAUUUGACCUCAACUGUUACCUGGGGAACUGUGCUCCAGCUUCUGCUGCACUUCAGUUCUACAAAAGACAAAAAAAAAAAAAGAACCACUUCUGGAGUUCCCUUCUUGGCUCGGCAAUUAAUGAACCCGAUUGGGAUACAUGAGGAUACAGGUCUGAUCCCUGGCCUUGCUUAAUGGGUUAAGGAUCUGGCGUUGCCAUGAGCUGUGGUGUGGGUUGCAGACAUGGCUCUGAUCUGGCAGUGCUGUGGCUGUGGCAUAGGCCGGCGGCCACAGCUCCGAUUUUACUCCUAGCCUGGGAACCUCCCUAUGCCGCGGGAGCGACAAAUAGCACAAAAAUUAAAAAAACCACUUUCAUGGGUCUUGGUACCAUCAUCCCAGCAUCAGAUCUCCCACUCACCCCCCACCCUCACUGGCACCCCUCCCCCAGCACAUGCUGUAAAUCCGUUCUUGGGAAAGGAUCUGAUACAACCAUUCACCCUGAGGAGUAGGAAACAAGAAGACCUGGAGGGGGACACCCUCUAGCAGGAGAUCAAGACCCACUGCCCUCCUCUGAGAGGCCCGCACUAACUCCUCCCACUGAAAUCAGCUUAAAUGUCUACAGGGGUCAGAUGGGGAGGGGGAGGUACUGAGCGAGGAGGACCAGGCACGAGACCAUAGGGAGGGGCAGGGCCAUAGCAAACUGGCUCGAGUGUGCCCUCUGCGAGGGUGCAGAGAGGAGCGGCCACUCUUUAGCCCACUGGUUGUAGGAACGCAGACCACAGCUGCCAGAUCUUCUGACUUGUCAAGAGAAGCCAGAAAUCAGAUUUUUCUGGGCCAUUUCCAAUUAUAAACUAUGGGGGGUGGGCACCAAAGCAAGCAGGUCUGGGGGCCACAUCUGGAGGCAAGUGGGCCACCCGUCGGCAGCCUGGUCUAGAGGGUGAGCUCUUUGGGCUGGGAGACCUUGUGUUUAUCCUUAUGCCCUUAGUGCCAGCUGGCUGCCCAGCAUGCCCAGGGGGUUCCCAGUAAACGCUGAUACAUGGGUAAAUAAGCGAAGGCGUGGUGGGGCCAGCAGACGAAAGGGGACUUCCUGCCCCACCACACCUAAGGUCUGCCUUGUCAGCCAACAGGGGUGGGGCCUGCCUGGGAGUCCCAUCCCCCCUCACCCACAAAGGAGGACUGCUGAUUCCUAACUCGCUCAUGCCUAGAAAUGGCCACUUUCAGCAUCCCUGGAUGUUCCGAGAGCAUCUCCUGUGGUGCAGACCUCUCUCGGGUCUCCAGUUUUAUACAAUCCCGCCCUAAAACCCACAGCCUCUCCUGCCUCCUGCAAGGACCCGGCCCCAGUCCUCUAGGCUCUCUGUCAUAGAGUGCCCCCCAACCAGGUUCUCCUCACUACAGGCUGCUGCUCAGAAACCUUUGCCCAGGGCAUCCAGCCUCCAAGCCCAGGUCCAGCUCCUCUGAGAGCAAUGGCAAAAGCAGCAAAAGCCUCAAAGCUGCCCCUGGGAGAAGGAGGAGAGAAGAAAGGCCCAAUCUGGGAGCCUCUGGAGGUAUCCCCGUGUCCUGGACACCCCCUGCCAAGAGAGGCAUGUCUAAGGGCUCUGCCCAUCUCAGGUCACGGGUGAUGUGUCAGAAGUGGGGAGCUCUGUCUAUCAGGAAGAGAGGCUAACAGCCUGCCUACAACUGACAGGAAAAGGAAACUAGAAGCCAAGGUGUUGAGGGGCCUGGGUGAGACACAGGGUGUACAGAGUCUUCAUAAGAAGUUCAAGAACAGGAGCUCCCAUCAUGGCUCCAUGGAAAUGAAUCCAACUACGAACCAUGAGGAUGUGGGUUCAAUCCCUGGCUUCGCUCCAUGGGUUCAGGAUUCAGUGCUGUCGUGAGCUGUAGGGUAGGUCACAGACGCGGCUCGGAUCUGGCGUUGCUGUGGCUGUGGUGUAGGCCGGCGGCAAAGUGCCCUAGCCUGGGAACCUCCAUAUGCCAUGGGUUCAGCCCUCCAAAAAAAGACCAAAGACAAAAAAAAAAAGAAGAAGAAGACAUUCAAGAAUAGUCACUAAGUGAUGUGAGGACAAGCUGGGAUGAUGGAGCAGGAGGUGGGGAGCAAGGUAGGAUGGCGUACUGAUGGGGAGGGGACGAGGAGGCCUUCUGGAGCGAUGGAAAUGCUACAUAUCUUCAUCUGGAUGGUACUUACACAGGCGCAUACAGACGGAAAAUUACAUCAGCUACCCAGUACAUUUAAAGACCUGUGGACUUCACUAUACAUAAAUUUUAUCUCAACAAUAAAAGAAAAAAAGAGCAAUGGAAGAGGGGAAAGACCUCUCACAGAUGCCCAUAAAUCAAGAAGCGGGCCCUGACACCGGUUCUCUGGGAGAGCUUAAAAAGAGGCAGAAAGGCCAAUGAGGUGUGAGACCCUUACUCCCAAAUGAGCCAUAGAACUGAUUUCAAAGUUACCCCGCAGGUGGCCAAGUUCAAGUGCAAAUACACCACUGAAUAUAUGCCCAUGGAAGAAGCCUUGAAGGCAGGAAGUAAGAACGACUUUAAAGCACCAUAGCCUUCUUCAUAGCCCUUUAGCUUCAGCUGUCCCAGUUCAUCCUCACAGCCACCCUGGGAAUGGCUGUUAAGUCUCCUACAUAGAGUGGAAUAAACAGAGGCCCAGAGAAGUUCAAGGACUUGCCAAGGUCACAUUGGCCGCGCUAGGA
rnacentral:lncRNA from 1 species